rnacentral:rRNA from 1 species
AUGGAGCAAGAAGCGCCCGCCACGACAACGGAGCGCGUGCGAGAUGUGACCCUUCGGCCUCUCGACCUCGCCGACGCCGACGCCAUGAUGGCGUGGGUGUCGGAUCCCGAGGUCACGACCUUCAUGACGUGGGACCCCUACAUGUCCCGCGACGCCCUGCUCGCGUUCCUCCGGGACGCCGCGCUGCCGCACCCCUGGUUCGGCGCCGUAUGCCUCCCCGGUGGCGACCGCCCCGUCAGCUCGGUGUCCAUGUCGCCGACGGCGGACGCGUGCCGCGCCGAGCUCGGGUACGUGGUGGCGCGCGCGCACUGGGGCAAGGGCGUGGCCACGGCCGCUGUGAAGCGAGCGGUCGCCACCGUGUUCAAGGAGGUGGAGGGGCUGGGAGCGCGUGGAGGGGCUAGUGGACGUGCGCAACAUCGCGUCGCAGCGCGUGCUGGAGAAGGCCGGGUUCCGGCGGGAGGCCGUGCUGCGGAGGUACUGCGUGGUCAAGGGCGCCGUUAG